CACGUAGGGCGCAAGCGUUGUCCGGAAUUAUUGGGCGUAAAAGAGCUCGUAGGCGGUCUGUUGCGUCCGCUGUGAAAAACCCGGGGGCUUAACCCCCUGGCUUGCAGUGGAUACGGACAGACUAGAGGUAGGUAGGGGGGAGAAUGGAAAUUCCGGGGUGGAGCGGUGAAAAAUGCGUAGAGAUCCGGAGGAACACCGACGGCGUAGGCAGCGCCCCUAGACGAGACCUGACGCUUCAGG
rnacentral:rRNA from 1 species